UAUCUACGCUAGGAAUGCCAAUUCAUCUCUGAUACUUUUAUCAAACUUAAAAGAAUUCUUCCUACAUUUCUUUGAUACGCAAGAUUUCUUUAGUAACUAGUGCUUUAGAAAACGUAUAAAGUACUUAGAAAAAGAAAGAAAAUUUGGAGCUUUGUAAAUUGCGAAGUACAAUUCGAAAUUUUCAUUUUCUUGUUUUUUAUAAAAUCAAUUUGUUCAGCUUCAGUAUGCAAUAACUUAACUAGAUAAGAAUUCUAUGUAAUGUAUUUAUUUUGUAUUUGUAAGCUAAAGCUUUGGAAAAGUUCAUUUAAAAUUAUCGUGUUAUCAGAUGUAGGAUCAACUUUUGUAAAUAUUCGAAGCAACAGCGAAUUUCACAGCAAAAUGCAACGUUAUCUAAAGAUAAGACUAGAGCUUAUACAUUGCGAGCCGCAAUAAAAUUCAGAAAUGAAAGGGAGCGACUGCGGCGAAAAAAAAGGUGCGUCACUUUAUCGUGGAAAAUGUCGACGCGAACGGAGGAAAAAACUAUUUUAUUCGAAAGGAAAGAAAUGAUCUCGCUAUCGCCCGAUCGCGUAUGCUGGAGCAUCGUGAUAAAGGGAGAACGAUUCUCGAAUGGGAAAAUCGAACAAAUCUGCUCCCACGAAGUGCUGGGAUAAAAGAGACGAUUUGCAAACUUGCUCUCGGAGUGACACAUACGGAGGCCCGAUUCCGUUCGGAAGGCAAACGCAAGCACGAAGUUAUCGUUUAUAAAGAUCCCACCUGACAGAGAAAGAGAGAGGGAGAGAGGAAGAAAGAGAGCCGCGACAAACUUUAUGAAUUAUGGAACGAUCCCGCAUCGGAAAAAUAAUAGACGUCGACGUCGUCGUUUCGUUUCGAUUCGAUUCAUUCGCCUUGUGCGUCAGGUAAGCGUUUCUAAUCUGGAUUCUAUUUCCAGGAUAGUUUCGAGCUCUACAUGUCCACCACAUGAAAGGUUCGUGAAGAGAGAACGCUCACGUUUCAACAUAAUAUGCGCGACUUGCAGUUUUACGAAGCAAAGAGCUUUCCGCCUCUCGCAUCUCGUGUUACCAGACCAAGGAUCUCUGGAAAUUCGGAACCUUGCGCGCGCGUUGCGGACCGACUAGUGACUCUUUAUUUACAAUGCAAAUAGCCGAAAAUGGAAAGUGACGUGGUGUAGCACGUACGUAACAGCGUUUCGCCGGGAAAUAGCACGUUAUUACGGGGCAAUUUCUCCAGUUUGGUCAAUUCGACAGUUUAUCUUUGAUCGCUUUAUUGCAUUCGCUCGGCGCGACGUGGGUUAGCGCUAAUGCAAACGGCUUUUUUUUUCAGACAGGUGUGCCCACCUGUUCCCAUUUCUCAUCUCUCACGCCCUACUCUAUCUCUGCUUCGUAGUUCUCUCUCUCUCUCUCUCUUUCUCUCUCUCUAUUGGAUAGGAGUAGCUAUGCUAAGCAGAUCGAUGUUACCAAGUACGAUCGAAUGGACCAUUAAAUCGUGCUGUGUUACUUGAAGUCACUACACUAACACUACGAUGAAAUUAACAGAAGCGACCACGACGAAAAGGGUACUAUCGACAAACUUGCUAAGCUUGCAGGGUCAAUAUAAUCUUCCUCUCUCGUAGGAUGUAUGUAUCCUUGUGCGCGUGUAUGUUUCAUAAACUUUCAAAUUUCGACUCUCCAAUUUGUUUGAUUAUGCCGGUAUAUUUUUUCUUCUCUAUGAGUAUUUGUUCCUAAAUAGGGACAUGACACUUGCAACUGGAAAAACCGGUUUUGCUAAGUAUUGAAAAAUUUCGCUAGAUACAGAUUCAAAAACAAUUAUUAAAAUUAGACCAUUAAAAUAAUAUAGAAACGCUCAAGCUGACUGGCAAAACUAAUCAAUUUUUCUGCAGCUUAUUACUCAUUUUAUGUUCAAAUGUUCUUCAUUAAUUAUUUUGAUGGUCAAUUAAAACUUUCAGAAUUUAAUUGAAUUUUUAGAUCUUUGACAAAACCAUAAUUUCUAUGUGGGUUUAUAUCUCCUAGCUAUGUCUAUUUGCAUCAAUCUUUUAUGAUUUGGAAAAGAUACGUAAAAUUACACAAGAAAUAUCAAAAUGGAUAAUUUUUCGUAAUUUUAUAGGUACUUAUUAUCCAACAUAUAUCUGUAUUAUGUCGUAUAAUACAUUGUAUUGUACUAUAUAUUUGUAUUGUAUAACAUUAUAUCGAUUAUUGCUUAUGUGUAUUGUAUAACACAAUGAAAUUGUAGGAUGUUUGAUUUACUUUAUUAAUUUAUUUUAUAAUAGUAGCCUAAAUUUGAUCGUGCUAGUAACAAUACUGACAACCGAGAUACACGAUAAGCUUAUCUAUAUAGAUUAUCUGUGAUAAGAAUUAUGGUAUAAGAGAAAGUAAUGUAUAUCAAAAACUCAGAUGUAACAAAAUGAUUAAACGGAGAAUGCGAGUAUUUGCACAAAGGGGCAUAUUUAAAUAAAAAGGACAAGAUAAUUUAUUUAAUUAUCAAUUUUAUAUUAUUGACAUUGAGACCGAUUCUUUAUCGAAUAAAAACAUCUGACUGGAAGUUGGUUUUUUAUAUUCUAAGAUUUUAUAGCCUUUCAUAUAUAUUAUUGCUUUUCUUCAGCACAUGUUUCUGUUGAAACAGAAUAGUUGCAUAAGAAAAAUCCUUCAUUUCUUUCAUUCUGUUUGAAACUUUUAUGCAUAAUAACAAUAAAAUAGAAAAAUAUGAAUUGCGUUCGAAUAUGUACGGCUAGCAGUGUAGUCUUAACAGGUUUUUUCUGUUAGAAUUUUUAAAUAA